CGAUAAGGUUCAAAGGCUAAGUACGCCACGUCCUGUGGCAACGCCUUUGUGACCAACAUCGUGUUGG
rnacentral:sRNA from 1 species